GCAGGGGGGGAAAAAGCAGAGAGCAGAAAGAGGAAAUCAGGGAAAUCAGGAAAUCAAAUCUGCAUGGUUGAAAGGUGGGAAAGGACGACUGAGGAUUGGUGAAGAAGACGUGGAGGAUUGGCGUGUGUAAGGGAAUGGGGACGGCGAGAAGAAAUUCCCUGCGAUGCUUUUGCACACUUGAGACCCCCUGAGAACCCCUGAGAACCUCAUACAAAAAAAAAAAAAAAAAAGACGUGUGCUGGGUGAAUCCCGAAAACGGCGUUGACUCUGUGAUGGAUGAUGUUGAAGGGGUUUGUGGAGACUGUAUGGAUCUCUGCAUCUCCAGCCGACGUGACGGAGACGAGAGACGUGCAGGCCAAACAGGGCAGGGCUGUGA